GGCCGCAUAACUCAGCGGUAGAGUGCGAGUCUCAUAAGCUCGAAGCCCCGAGUUCAACUCUCGGUGCGGCCA
rnacentral:tRNA from 1 species